rnacentral:rRNA from 1 species
UUCGCAAUGCCCGAAAGGGUGACGAAGCGACGCCGCGUGGGUGAGGAAGGCCUUCGGGUUGUAAAGCCCUGUCAGGAGUUAAGAAAUAUAAGUGCGCUAAUAUCGCAUUUAUUUGACGAAGGCUCCAAAGGAAGCCACGGCUAACUCUGUGCCAGCAGCCGCGGUAAUACAGAGGUGGCAAGCGUUGUUCGGAAUUAUUGGGCGUAAAGAGCACGUAGGUGGGUUUGUAAGUCAGAUGUGAAAGCCUUCUGUUCAACGGAAGAAUUGCAUCUGAAACUACAAGUCUUGAGUGUAGGAGGGGAGAAUGGAACUUCUGGUGGAGCGGUGAAAUGCGUAGAUAUCAGAAGGAACGCCGGCGGCGAAAGCGAUUCUCUGGCCUAUUACUGACACUCAGUGUGCGAAAGCUAGGGGAGCAAACGGGAUUAGAUACCCCGGUAGUCCUAGCCGUAAACGAUGGGCACUAAGUAGAGGGGUUUU